GGGGAAUUUUUCGCAAUGGGGGAAACCCUGACGAAGCAACGCCGCGUGGAGGAUGAAGGCCUUCGGGUCGUAAACUCCUGUCGACCGGGACGGACGUAGUCCGACCCAAUACGUCGGGCUAUCGACUGUACCGGUGGAGGAAGCCACGGCUAACUCUGUGCCAGCAGCCGCGGUAAUACAGAGGGUGCGAGCGUGGUUCGGAAUUAUUGGGCGUAAAGGGCGCGUAGGCGGUGUGGUAAGUCACCUGUUAAAUCUCCGGGCUUAACUCGGAGCUUGCAGGCGAAACUGCCGUGCUGGAGUGUGGGAGAGGUGCGUGGAAUUCCCGGUGUAGCGGUGAAAUGCGUAGAUAGCGGGAGGAACACCUGUGGCGAAAGCGGCGCACUGGACCACAACUGACGCUGAGGCGCGAAAGCUAGGGGAGCAAAC
rnacentral:rRNA from 1 species